UAAUAACUUCUGUUUAAAAAGAAAAUUAGCUGUUCUUCCAGAAGUAAUACUGUGAAAAAUAAACAGUGCUUAUCUAAAACCUGGAUUCAUAGAUGAAAAUUCAAAACUGUUAUAGAUCACUACCACAAAAAAGCAGUUAUGGUAAUUUACUGUUGAGUGUUACUUAUUAGAGGCAUAAAUGAAACCAAACUAUUUCUCUCUCCAUGAAAAGGCACUUGUUCAACGUCUAAUCAAGAUCUAGCUGUGCAAGAUUUCGGGGCAUGGAGAUGAACCAGACAGCUUGUGGCGUAUCUGCUGUCUGUUGGAAGGGAGGAAUAAAAUUAUUUACCUUCAAGUGCUGGACAGCAUCAAGAGCCAUUAAACACCCUUUGGAAGAGUAUGUGCACAAAGCACACAGAAGUUCUAAAACUAGGAUCUUCACUGUGAUGUUUUGAGAGUUCACUGUAAAAAUUGAAAGAAGCCACAUUUGAAACCAUUUUCAAAUCACACAGUACAAAUGACUGAAAGCUGAACACCUUGCAGAGCAGUUGAAGCGGGUACAUUGAAGAAAACCCAAACAGAAGUCCUUCCAUCAGCAAAGUCUACUAAUGGAUCAUUAUAUGAUCCUAUCUUAUACAUAUGUGGUGACACAACAAUUACUUUGUAUGAGGGGAAGACCAAGAAAAAUGUUCUUCAAUGAGCACAAUGUAUCAGUCAGUCACAGUGAACCAAGAACUACAGAAAAAAGUCCCUGAAAUUGUGAGCUGCAACAGUUCUGCUCAAUUUGGAGUUCAUAUUGUGGACCAGAUGUCUCAUCUACAUACCGUCAAGUUUGGCUGCUGCAGAUGGACCUAUGCAUGGGGUUUUUUUUUCCCCAAUCUGCUAGACCUAGCUGGGAGCAAUAUGCAGAUCUUUUUCAGAGAGACAACAGGAGAAAAAGUUACUCAGCAAAUGUUUCCUUUCCAAUUAGCAGAACAGGCCAUAAGCAAAAAUUUAUUAUCUUCUCUGUGUGUGUACAAUUAGGGAGAGGACCUGUUCAUAUAUUCAUUGCUACCACAGAAAUAUGUAAGGUACCAGUACGGAAGACCUGCCAGAUAGGAGUAUGCAGAGGUUCAAACAAAAUAAAAAUCUAUGCAUACUGUAUAAAAAAUUGAUAUGUGGUCCUUUUGCUGGAAGUGUUCAGUAUGUGUGUGCAAAGCGUUUUGAUGAAGAAGGUGGCUUUGAUUGAAAACAUGUCAUAUAGAGAAAAAACAAUGUUAUUUUCAUAUAAAUGCAACAGCCAUUUAUGUCCAUUUUUGUUUCUAUUUCCUAAUAAAUUUUUGCUUAUGGCCUGUUUGGGACUUUAAUUGAA